AACGAACGCUGGCGGCAUGCCUAACACAUGCAAGUCGAACGAGACCUUCGGGUCUAGUGGCGCACGGGUGCGUAACGCGUGGGAACCUGCCCUUAGGUUCGGAAUAACUCCCCGAAAGGGGUGCUAAUACCGGAUAAUGUCUUCGGACCAAAGAUUUAUCGCCUUUGGAUGGGCCCGCGUUGGAUUAGCUAGUUGGUAGGGUAAAAGCCGACCAAGGCGACGAUCCAUAGCUGGUCUGAGAGGAUGACCAGCCACACUGGGACUGAGACACGGCCCAGACUCCUACGGGAGGCAGCAGUAGAGAAUAUUGGACGAUGGGCGAUAGCGUGAUCCAGCAAUGCCGCGUAAGUGAUGAAGGCCUUAGGGUUGUAAAGCUCUUUUACCCGGGAUGAUAAUGACAGUACCGGGAGAAUAAGCACCGGCUAACUCCGUG
rnacentral:rRNA from 1 species